AGAUCCAAUCCUCAUUCACUUAACAGAGCAGUUGAGCUUACAGGUUCUUCACAAUCUAUAGCUAAAGUCGAGUAACUAACUAAGGAUGCGUAUGGAGGCUCUAGCAUUGUUUCGAGGAGGCUGGAGGUUACCUGGUCAGCAAGACGGGCUAAACAAUUUGCGAUUUAAGUGCCAAACAACAAGAGUUUUAUUAAAUAGCUCAAACGGGGUCCAACAGGUCAGUUUUAUUCAUAGCUACACAUUGAUAUUCUUGAUUUUUCCACCAUUUAGAUAAGUAUGUCACCAACACUAUUGCUUUAUUUCAUCAUAUUAAUUUUUAGGGAUGAGCAUUUGGUACCGCGUACUGGUGCCGAAUUUCCCGUACCGAAUUGGUACCCAUUUUUUGGUGUUUUCGGUACCAGUACCGGUUCGGUAUGAUACCGGUAGUUUACCAAAUUUUGCCUUCAAAUACCGGUACCGCACCAUACCGAACAUUUUCAGUGCAAAUUUCGGUACCGGUAAAACUGCUAAUAAGUUUUGGUGAAGAAAAUUUGCAACAACUUCUGUACAUGAUGGAUGAUUUUUGCAGGACUAAAAGUUUGCAUUAUUUUAAUCUUUAACAAUUAAUGAAAAUUAUAAAUUUACAUAGUUCGAACGGGUAGAUAAAAGCGUUAUAAGUUUUUGUGAGCUGCAUAGUUCUAAAGUUCUAUUAAAUGGGUCAAACGGUCAGCCUUAUAGAACGGGUGAAACGGUCAACUUUAUAGAACGAUUCAAAUGGUUCGUUUUACUAAAUGGCUCAAGCAGUUCAAUUUUAUUAAACAAACAGAACAAUCAUUUUUUUCUUAAACGGGUCGAAUUGGUUAAUUCUUAUUAACGGGUCAACUAGGUAAGUUUUAAUGAGCUGGCAAGUUUGGUUCAUUUUUCUUUAAGAAUGUAAUUUGCUCUCGCUAGGAGUACUACUAAUUAAUUGGUUAAUUCGCAUACUUUGUUGGAAUC